rnacentral:rRNA from 1 species
GACGAACGCUGGCGGCGUGCCUAAUACAUGCAAGUUGAGCGCUGAAGGUUGGUACUUGUACCGACUGGAUGAGCAGCGAACGGGUGAGUAACGCGUGGGGAAUCUGCCUUUGAGCGGGGGACAACAUUUGGAAACGAAUGCUAAUACCGCAUAAAAACUUUAAACACAAGUUUUAAGUUUGAAAGAUGCAAUUGCAUCACUCAAAGAUGAUCCCGCGUUGUAUUAGCUAGUUGGUGAGGUAAAGGCUCACCAAGGCGAUGAUACAUAGCCGACCUGAGAGAGUGAUCGGCCACAUUGGGACUGAGACACGGCCCAAACUCCUACGGGAGGCAGCAGUAGGGAAUCUUCGGCAAUGGACGAAAGUCUGACCGAGCAACGCCGCGUGAGUGAAGAAGGUUUUCGGAUCGUAAAACUCUGUUGGUAGAGAAGAACGUUGGUGAGAGUGGAAAGCUCAUCAAGUGACGGUAACUACCCAGAAAGGGACGGCUAACUACGUG